GCAGUGGUGGCUCAGUGGUAGAAUUCUUGCCUUCCACGCAGGAGGCCUGGGUUCAAUCUCCCAGCCAGAGCA
rnacentral:tRNA from 1 species